rfam:Danio rerio chromosome 13, GRCz11 reference primary assembly.
GUGGGAUACGGUGACACGUAUCCAGUCACGCUUCCUGGGAAGCUCAUCGGCACAUUGUGCAUCAUUUGCGGCCUGCUUGUAGUCGCCCUUCCUAUCUCCAUCAUCUUUAACAAG